CAGCCGCCGCGGUAAUACGAAGGGUGCAAGCGUUAAUCGGAAUUACUGGGCGUAAAGCGUGCGUAGGCGGUGAGUUAAGUCUGCUGUGAAAUCCCCGGGCUCAACCUGGGAAUGGCAGUGGAUACUGGCUCGCUAGAGUGUGUCAGAGGAUGGUGGAAUUCCCGGUGUAGCGGUGAAAUGCGUAGAGAUCGGGAGGAACAUUAGUGGCGAAGGCGGCCAUCUGGGACAACACUGACGCUGAGGCACGAAAGCGUGGGGAGCAAACAGGAUUAGAUACCCGCGUAGUCCCUGUCUCUUAUAC
rnacentral:rRNA from 1 species